AUAGAAAAGGAGAGUCCGGAGAGGGUCUGUCUGCUGUGUGACGGAAGACAAGUCUGCCUCACAGCGCUGGCAUCGAGUCGUCACCUCAGACCAUUUUCAGCGUCCAAACCUUGAUGAGGGGGAAGGAACUGUGGUGUUCAUGAGCUCAUCUGUGCCAGACGAGCAACAAGCUGUCAGUGGAGAGUCCUGACAAACUGUCACAUCUCGGUGGCUAUAAGAACACCCAGCCAGAGGGAGUUUUAUCGGACAGCGAGGAGGACAAAGGCCCAG